rnacentral:misc_RNA from 1 species
UCCGGGUUGGACCCGGCGGUCCCGCCAGACAUGGUAACUGGCAGCGAGGGUUGCGCUCGUUGCGGGACUUAACCCAACACCUCACGGCACGAGCUGACGACAGCCAUGCAGCACCUGUCUUACGGUUCCCGAAGGCACCCUCCUGUUUCCAGGAGGUUCCGUAGAUGUCAAGUCCAGGUAAGGUUCUGCGCGUUGCUUCGAAUUAAACCACAUAAUCCACCGCUUGUGCGGGUCCCCGUCAAUUCCUUUGAGUUUUAGCCUUGCGGCCGUACUCCCCAGGCGGGGCGCUUAAUGCGUUAGCUGCGGCACGGAGAACGUGGAAGGUUCCCCACACCUAGCGCCCAACGUUUACGGCGUGGACUAC